rnacentral:tRNA from 1 species
GACGCUGGCCCAGAGGCCCAGGACAGGUGGUUCUCAGCCAUCAGACCGGGGUUCGAAUCCCCGUAGCGCUGCCA